AAUCAACGCUGGCGGCGUGCCUCAGACAUGCAAGUCGAACGAUUAAGACUUCCUUCGGGAAGUGCAUAAAGUGGCGCACGGGUGAGUAACACGUAAGUAAUCUACCCUCGAGUGGGGAAUAACGUUCGGAAACGGACGCUAAUACCGCAUAACGCAGCGGCACCGCAAGGUGACAGUUGUUAAAGGAGCAAUCCGCUUGAGGAGGAGCUUGCGGCAGAUUAGCUAGUUGGUAGGGUAAUGGCUUACCAAGGCUACGAUCUGUAUCCGGUCUAAGAGGACGGUCGGACACACUGACACUGAAUAACGGGUCAGACUCCUACGGGAGGCAGCAGUCGGGAAUUUUGGGCAAUGGGCGAAAGCCUGACUCAGCAACGCCGCGUGAAGGAUGAAGUAUUUCGGUAUGUAAACUUCGAAAGAAUAGGAAGAAUAAAUGACGAUACUAUUUAUAAGCUCCGGCUAACUACGUG
rnacentral:rRNA from 1 species